UCCGGUAUGGUGUAGUGGCUAACAUCGCUCGCUCUCAUUAAAUUAAUGACCCGAGCAGCCCAGGGUUCGAUUCCCUGUACCGGAG